AAAACUGCUAUGAUUUUGUUAAAUGACUAAAAAGUAUAAUAUUAAAUGUGAUAUAAUAAUUUAUUUUAUAUUUUAUUUAUAAUUUCAUCUUCAAUCUUCAUCAUUUUCGGGUCAUAGCUCAAGAUCCAAAUCCCUCCCUUGCAACCCUCUGUUCUCUCCCCUUCCCAAUCACCAAAAUCUCCGGCGGAUUUCACAGCUCAAGAUCCAAAUCCCUCCCCUC
rnacentral:lncRNA from 1 species